CCUACGGGGCGCAGCAGUGGGGAAUAUUGCACAAUGGGGGAAACCCUGAUGCAGCAACGCCGCGUGAGUGAUGACGGCCUUCGGGUUGUAAAGCUCUGUCUUCAGGGACGAUAAUGACGGUACCUGAGGAGGAAGCCACGGCUAACUACGUGCCAGCAGCCGCGGUAAUACGUAGGGAGCAAGCGUUAUCCGGAUUUAUUGGGUGUAAAGGGUGCGUAGACGGAGAAGCAAGUUAGUUGUGAAAUCCCUCGGCUUAACUGAGGAACUGCAACUAAAACUACUUCCCUUGAGUACUGGAGAGGAAA
rnacentral:rRNA from 1 species